rnacentral:rRNA from 1 species
GGUAGGGUAAUGGCCUACCAAGGCGACGAUGGUUAGCUGGUCUGAGAGGAUGAUCAGCCACACUGGAACUGAAACACGGUCCAGACUCCUACGGGAGGCAGCAGUGAGGAAUUUUGCGCAAUGGGGGAAACCCUGACGCAGCAACGCCGCGUGAGUGAAGAAGGCCUUCGGGUCGUAAAGCUCUGUCAAGUGGGAAAAAAUGACCCGGGUCCAUAGCCCGGGGAACUGAUGGUACCACUGAAGGAAGCACCGGCUAACUCCGUGCCAGCAGCCGCGGUAAUACGGAGGGUGCAAGCGUUGUUCGGAAUUAUUGGGCGUAAAGAGCGUGUAGGCGGUUUGGCAAGUCAGAUGUGAAAGCCCUGGGCUCAACCCGGGAAGUGCAUUUGAAACUGCCAUACUUGAGUAUGGGAGAGGAGAGUGGAAUUCCCAGUGUAGAGGUGAAAUUCGUAGAUAUUGGGAGGAACACCCGUGGCGAAGGCGACUCUCUGGACCAAUACUGACGCUGAGACGCGAAAGCGUGGGGAGCAAACAGGAUUAGAUACCCUGGUAGUCCACGCUGUAAACGAUGAGAACUAGGUGUAGCGGGUAUUGACCCCUGCUGUGCCGAAGUUAACGCAUUAAGUUCUCCGCCUGGGGAGUACGGCCGCAAGGCUAAAACCCAAAGGAAUUGACGGGGGCCCGCACAAGCGGUGGAGCAUGUGGUUUAAUUCGACGCAACGCGAAGAACCUUACCUGGGUUUGACAUCCUCUGACCGUCUGGGAAACCAGAUUUAUCCGGCUCUGCCGGAACAGAGUGACAGGUGCUGCAUGGCUGUCGUCAGCUCGUGUCGUGAGAUGUUGGGUUAAGUCCCGCAACGAGCGCAACCCUUAUUUUUAGUUGCCAGUAUUAAGUUAGGCACUCUAAAGAGACUGCCUCGCUUAACGAGGAGGAAGGUGGGGAUGACGUCAAGUCCUCAUGGCCUUUAUACCCAGGGCUACACACGUGCUACAAUGGGCUGUACAAAGGGUCGCCAAUCCGCGAGGAUGAGCUAAUCCCAAAAAGCAGCUCUCAGUUCGGAUUGGAGUCUGCAACUUGACUCCAUGAAGGUGGAAUCGCUAGUAAUCGUGGAUCAGCACGCCACGGUGAAUACGUUCCCGGGCCUUGUACACACCGCCCGUCACACCACGAAAGUCGACUGUACCAGAAGUUGCUGGGCUAACUCCCGAUUUAUCGGGGGAGGCAGGUACCUAAGGUACGGCCGGUAAUUGGGGUGAAGUCGUAACAAGGUA